CAAUCACCCUCCAAUACAUUCACAGUCUGACAGGGGGAGUGGUGGAACGUGUGCAGCUUUCUGGCAUGCAGUGGCAGGCAAUAAUGAAGGGUACUCCAGCUGGUAUUAGGUAACAUGAAUCUCGAUCCGACUUUGGAGCUUUGAAUGAGCAGGGUCACAAUGUUCGCAGCCUACCUUGACACCCACGUCCACAUUGUGGGUAUUACUCAUACACUACAGUAGUGCACUUACACUACAAUUGAGGUACUGACGAAGUAAAUGGACGUUUGAAUUCUUUUAGUUUCCUGC